AACGAACGCUGGCGGCAUGCCUAACACAUGCAAGUCGAACGAGACCUUCGGGUCUAGUGGCGCACGGGUGCGUAACGCGUGGGAACCUGCCCUUAGGUUCGGAAUAACUCCCCGAAAGGGGUGCUAAUACCGGAUAAUGUCUUCGGACCAAAGAUUUAUCGCCUUUGGAUGGGCCUGCGUUGGAUUAGCUAGUUGGUAGGGUAAAAGCCUACCAAGGCGACGAUCCAUAGCUGGUCUGAGAGGAUGAGCAGCCACACUGGGACUGAGACACGGCCCAGAAUCCUACGGGAAGCAGCAGUGGGGAAUAUUGGAAAAUGGGCGAAAGCCUGAUCCAGCAAUGCCGCGUGAGUGAUGAAGGCCUUAGGGUUGUAAAGCUCUUUUACCCGGGAUGAUAAUGACAGUACCGGGAGAAUAAGCUCCGGCUAACUCCGUG
rnacentral:rRNA from 1 species